UACGUAGGUGGCGAGCGUUGUCCGGAUUUACUGGGCGUAAAGGGAGCGUAGGCGGACUUUUAAGUGAGAUGUGAAAUACUCGGGCUCAACUUGAGUGCUGCAUUUCAAACUGGAAGUCUAGAGUGCAGGAGAGGAGAAUGGAAUUCCUGGUGUAGCGGUGAAAUGCGUAGAGAUUAGGAAGAACACCAGUGGCGAAGGCGAUUCUCUGGACUGUAACUGACGCUGAGGCUCGAAAGUGUGGGGAGCAAACAGG
rnacentral:rRNA from 1 species